AUUGAACGCUGGCGGCAUGCUUUACACAUGCAAGUCGAACGGUAACAGGCCGCAAGGUGCUGACGAGUGGCGAACGGGUGAGUAAUGCAUCGGAACGUGCCCAGUCGUGGGGGAUAACGCAGCGAAAGCUGUGCUAAUACCGCAUACGAUCUAUGGAUGAAAGCGGGGGACCGUAAGGCCUCGCGCGAUUGGAGCGGCCGAUGUCAGAUUAGCUAGUUGGUGGGGUAAAGGCCCACCAAGGCGACGAUCUGUAGCUGGUCUGAGAGGACGACCAGCCACACUGGGACUGAGACACGGCCCAGACUCCUACGGGAGGCAGCAGUGGGGAAUUUUGGACAAUGGGCGCAAGCCUGAUCCAGCAAUGCCGCGUGCAGGAAGAAGGCCUUCGGGUUGUAAACUGCUUUUGUACGGAACGAGACGGUCUGGGUUAAUACCCUGGGCUAAUGACGGUACCGUAAGAAUAAGCACCGGCUAACUACGUGCCAGCCGCCGCAGUAAAAC
rnacentral:rRNA from 1 species